rnacentral:rRNA from 1 species
CUUUCUCCGCCGGCGACCGGCGCACGGGUGAGUAACACGUAUGCAACCUGCCCAUGUCAGGGGGACAACCCGCCGAAAGGCGGGGCUAAACCCGCGUACAUGCCACCGGGGCAUCCCGGAGGCAGGAAAGGCUUCGGCCGGACAGGGAUGGGCAUGCGGCGCAUUAGGCAGUAGGCGGGGUAACGGCCCACCUAACCGACGAUGCGUAGGGGUUCUGAGAGGAAGGUCCCCCACACUGGUACUGAGACACGGACCAGACUCCUACGGGAGGCAGCAG